UGCGGUGGCUAUGCUGUCUCAGGAGAGACCACUGAUCUCAAGCAAGCACUAGAAAGUGAAUGACUGCACUGAUGCAAACCCCUCUCAGUGCCUGCAAGACCCACUAACUUGAGUGUUCUGCUAAAGAUCUGAUCAUAUCAUCUGAAUCCAGCAGCUGGAACAGUGCAAAUAUAAAGAAUGACAUUCACAAGCAGAAGCUACCUGAUGAGGGGAAAAAGGUCACAACUACAGACCUGACAGGAAAAGAAAUGGUGUGCCUCAAAUUUGUUAAAGCAUGGUCACCAACAUUUCCUGAAUAUCAUAACUGCCUCUACUAAAGACUUUCUUAUGCCUAAUGAAAAGAAAAGAAAUCAUGGGGAAUUACUGUGAUUGGUUCAGCUUAGUUUAGGUGCCCACCGCAGACAAAGCAAUAGUAGCCAGAAGAAAACGACAGCUUCAAAUGGAACCAGGAAUGGUGGUGGUGGAGCAGGAUAAGGUCUCAAGCCCAUAAUGAGGUGCUAUAUUAAUGAAGGGGAGAGAUAUACUUGUUUAAAACAUAAACCUGUUUAUAACAAAUUAAGAAAUUAUAAAUAAAUUUUAAAAUGCAAGCAAAUUAUGACAAUGUGUAAGACUUGACCUAUACUUGAAUACCAUGUACAAUACCUAUGGAAAGUCUUUAUUUCAGUCAAGUAAUUUAGUUUUCAGUGUUUAGGAAAAUGGUUCAUAAAUAUGUAAAUGUGUAGAUUUUAGCAUAAGCAUUUGCUAUUUGCUCUCAAAAAGAAUUUGUGAUUAAGAUCAUAUUUUUUUCACAGUUAUAUGAAUAACUAACUCAAAUUAUAAGCGGGAGAAAAAUGAUUCCAAAGCAAAAAAGUCUUACUUUCCAGAAUGUGAAGGGAAAUUUAUUGUUCAAAACUUUCCAUUACUUAGGCUGUUUGCUGUUUACUACAGGGAGUAUUAAAUAACAUGAGAUGAAAGUGA